CCCCCUUCUCUUCCUUUCCCGACGCUUCUGCUCAUGCGCAAACUCCUACCCCAACCCCCGCGCCUUGAACAUGCGCAGAAUCAUCGCUGUUCGCCGCUCUCCCUUCGCUUCCUCCGUCGCAGUCCUGUUUCUUUUCUUGCGCGUGCGUUCAGCUCCUUUGCUCAGCCGCGGAGGUGGAGGGACCACGAGGACUGCGGGCCCUAGGGUCCACAGAUGACAUAUCAGUCGAUAGGCAUGCAUUUACUGUUCGAGGGAAACAAAUAAGGGUGCAGCUUAGGCGAAAAGAAAAUCGUCUUAUUGCCAGUGUCUAAACUCCUAACGACGGAAUGUGUCUCUGAGACUAUGAGUGUGGAUACACGUGUACUUAAAACAGCCCCGCCUGUGUGCAGAGCUCUUGCUGUACGUCAACGCUUUACAGGAGCUAUCGCACUUAAGCCUCAGAACAACUUGAUGAGAAGUGCAACCAUGCAGUGCUUCUAUUAAAAACUGAGUAAUUGACAACAGUUUGAGGAUUACAGUGACAACUUACUCAAAGGAAAAAAUACUAAACUUCUGCCUUCGUUUGUGGAACUGCUAUCUUUCUUGUGUAAAAAUGUCCCUAUGAUGCACAACUCCAGAGAGCACCAUUUACAUUGUAUGCAUGUAAAUGGAAUUUCCUGAAGCAGUUAAGAGGCUACAGGAUUGGUUCCUGGAAGUGGAACUACUGUAUCAAAGAUUUGGAUGUUUUUAAGACCCCAGAAAGGUAUCCCUGGUUUCAAAAAAGAGGGGAAAGCAAGAUUUAAUCCUCUCCUGCCCUCAUCUCCCUUCUGAAUUUGAAUUUUUGGAAAGGUGCUUUCUUUGCCACUGAAGGAGUACACAGCCUCUUCAAUCUUAUAAAGGGACCAAACCAGCAACAUGCUUUCAUUCCUUAUAAAGGAAGCAGGAUUUACUAAUCUAAGUUAUAUACGCUAGGGACACCACUCUGUCUUUACUCACUCACUACUGUCCUUCAAAGCCUCCUCUUGCUCCUCCUCUUCCCCUAAAGAUGGGCGUUUCCCAGGGUUCUGGUUCUCAGACCUCUGCUCACUUGAUACACUUUGUGGUCCAUCUGAUCCAUUCGGCACCUACAUUUUAAGGACUCUCAAGAGCCAGACCUUACUUCCAACCUUCCUGGGAUAGUUCCCUGAUACCUCAAAUUCUAGAGGGACAAAACGGAGUUCCUCCUCCUGGACCUGAGGCCCACUCCUCCUACCAGUUCACACCCUAGACCAGAAAUCUGGCAAUCCCUUGCUCUUGCCCCUGCCCUACACUGCCAGUCAAUUUCCCAUUCCACUCACUCGUUUUAAAUUACUUUUCUUGAAUCCCUCUUCCCUCUAUCACCACUGCCACUAGGUACACAGCAGUGGUCCUCAUCCAUCCUUAUUUAGAUCACAGACUGUCUUAUAUUCCGUCUUCCAGUCUCCUGGACCCAACCAGUGUCAUCUUUUCAAAGACAUGUAACCUUUCUACACUUGAGCUUGCUUUUCCAUUUAAAAAAACCUUUUCGUGAUUCUCCAUUUCCUAUAGGUUUUAAUCCUGAGGCCCAAUAGUCAUUUACUCACAAAGCAGAGUAAACCCCGAGAAAUUGUCUGCAAAAUUUUAGUAUAGAUCUAGAGGUGCAUUUUUCUGAAGAGAGACCACAUUGCUUUCCAUAGAUUCUCAAAAGGGUAUGUGUCCCCAAAAAGGCUAAAACUUGUAGGUCUCACGCUAAAGUCCAAACUCUUCAGCAUGGAAUAUAAAGCCCUGGAUAACCUGGCCAUCCAUCCAGCUUCCUUUCUCAACCCCCUCUUCACUCCCCCCCCCCCCCACCCAUCCUUUGCUGGCUGUAGUUCUUCACCACAGGCCUUUGCACAUGCUGCCAUGCUUGCUCAGCUUGAGAUGCCCCUUCCUCUCUGCUUAGUUGACCUGGCUUUAGCCAUCAAGGAAACUACCUUCUUUGUUUCAAGAAACACCUGAGGUCGUGCUACCUACAGAAGGCUGUGCAGGCUAGGCAAGGUGUUAACUCUUGCCUCCCUGAAGCCAGCCUAGCAAUUGCUUUCUCUUAGCUUCUACCUGCCGGAUUUACAAACUUGGG
rnacentral:lncRNA from 1 species